UUGCCUUUUACAGGUGAAGCUAUUGCAUCUGUGCCAAGAAAGCUAUUUCCCCUUAAUGUGUGUGUGGCUUUUAAAUUCUCCUCCCAUGAUUCAUUUCGUUUCACUCAGGCUUCUGGGUAAUGCUCCUGAAGAAGACUUUGUGAAUCAUAUUAAUUAAAAAUAAGAACAUAGGUGUGUUUUCCUAAGGCCCGAGAUCCUGGAGUCAGUCCCCAGGAAGUAAACUGCUAUGUCUGGUCCUACUGUCUUAAGAUAACUGUCUGCAUGUUGUUUAGCUUCUCUGGUUUUGGUCUGUGCAUACAAGAAAUUCCCUGGGAGUGAGAGGUGUUUUGCUAAAGAGUGAAGAGGGAUAUGUGAUGUAUGAAGAGGGAUCAAGAAAUACAAAUAUUUGGCACUGCUUUCUGCCUGGGACCCAAUGGCUUGUUCUAGGGGAUUCUAGAACAACAAGCCAAGCUAAACCUGUUGCCAUUGAAGUUAAAUUAGUAAUGUCAUAAUCUGCACAGAAGCUGUAAAUUAAAAAAUGUUGAAAACUACUUCCAUCUGGUAAACAACAAUUGAUGAGUUCCAUUCACACAGAAACUACUUCUAGUUUUCCUGAACAGUUUGAAGAGGUUUUCUUUUGUUGUCUUGUUAUAAUUGUACAGUGAAACAUCCUUGAGAAACUGAAGGGGAAUAUCAAACAUAAUGAAGUGCCUUUACUUCUGCGCUGUACUCCCAUGUCUUAAAAAAGUAGGUAGUCUCUGCUGAAAGAAAAGAAAUAUCUGUACAUCAUUAAACUCAAGGCCAAAAUGAGUAAUCAGUGAAUUUGGGUUGCUAUUUCACAUGCAUUGGGACGUUAAUAGAGAACAAAGAAUAUCA